rnacentral:rRNA from 1 species
AGCCNCGUUUCGGNUCCGUUUAGCCUGCUAGUUGCACGGGUUUAGACCCGUGGCGAAAAGCUCAGUAACACGUGGCCAAGCUACCCUGUGGACCAGGAUAACCUCGGGAAACUGAGGAUAAUCCUGGAUAACGCUCCCCCACUGGAAUGUGGGGAGCCGGAAACGCUCCGGCGCCACAGGAUGCGGCUGCGGCCGAUUAGGUUGACGGUGGGGUAACGGCCCACCGUGCCCAUAAUCGGUACGGGUUGUGAGAGCAAGAGCCUGGAGACGGAAUCUGAGACAAGAUUCCGGGCCCUACGGGGCGCAGCAGGCGCGAAACCUUUACACUGCACGACAGUGCGAUAAGGGGACUCCGAGUGCGAGGGCAUAGAGCCCUCGCUUUUCUGUACCGUAAGGUGGUACAGGAAGAAGGGCUGGGCAAGACCGGUGCCAGCCGCCGCGGUAAUACCGGCAGCCCAAGUGAUGGCCGAUAUUAUUGGGCCUAAAGCGUCCGUAGCCGGCCGGACAAGUCCGUUGGGAAAUCCGCAUGCUUAACGUGCGGGCGUCCAGCGGAAACCGUCCGGCUUGGGACCGGAAGACCCGAGGGGUACGUCCGGGGUAGGAGUGAUAACCUGUAAUCCCGGACGGACCACCUGUGGCGAAAGCGCCUNGGGAAAGACGGAUCCNACC